rnacentral:rRNA from 1 species
GAUGAACGCUGGCGGCGUGCCUAAUACAUGCAAGUCGAGCGAACAGACGAGGAGCUUGCUCCUCUGACGUUAGCGGCGGACGGGUGAGUAACACGUGGAUAACCUACCUAUAAGACUGGGAUAACUUCGGGAAACCGGAGCUAAUACCGGAUAAUAUAUUGAACCGCAUGGUUCAAUAGUGAAAGACGGUUUUGCUGUCACUUAUAGAUGGAUCCGCGCCGCAUUAGCUAGUUGGGAAGGUAACGGCUUACCAAGGCAACGAUGCGUAGCCGACCGGUGAGGGUGAUCGGCCACACUGGAACUGAGACACGGUCCAGACUCCUACGGGAGGCAGCAGUAGGGAAUCUUCCGCAAUGGGCGAAAGCCUGACGGAGCAACGCCGCGUGAGUGAUGAAGGCCUUCGGAUCGUAAAACUCUGUUAUUAGGGAAGAACAAAUGUGUAAGUAACUAUGCACGUCUUGACGGUACCUAAUCAGAAAGCCACGGCUAACUACGUG